GUGGCGAACGGGUGAGUAACACGUGAGUAACCUGCCCUUGACUCUGGGAUAAGCCUGGGAAACUGGGUCUAAUACCGGAUAUGACUCCUCAUCGCAUGGUGGGGGGUGGAAAGCUUUUGUGGUUUUGGAUGGACUCGCGGCCUAUCAGCUUGUUGGUGGGGUAAUGGCCUACCAAGGCGACGACGGGUAGCCGGCCUGAGAGGGUGACCGGCCACACUGGGACUGAGACACGGCCCAGACUCCUACGGGAGGCAGCAGUGGGGAAUAUUGCACAAUGGGCGCAAGCCUGAUGCAGCGACGCCGCGUGAGGGAUGACGGCCUUCGGGUUGUNAACCUCUUUCAGUANGGAAGAAGCGUAAGUGACGGUACCUGCAGAAGAAGCGCCGGCUAACUACGUGCCAGCAGCCGCGGUAAUACGUAGGGCGCAAGCGUUAUCCGGAAUUAUUGGGCGUAAAGAGCUCGUAGGCGGUUUGUCGCGUCUGCUGUGAAAGACCGGGGCUCAACUCCGGUUCUGCAGUGGGUACGGGCAGACUAGAGUGCAGUAGGGGAGACUGGAAUUCCUGGUGUAGCGGUGAAAUGCGCAGAUAUCAGGAGGAACACCGAUGGCGAAGGCAGGUCUCUGGGCUGUAACUGACGCUGAGGAGCGAAAGCAUGGGGAGCGAACAGGAUUAGAUACCCUGGUAGUCCAUGCCGUAAACGUUGGGCACUAGGUGUGGGGGACAUUCCACGUUUUCCGCGCCGUAGCUAACGCAUUAAGUGCCCCGCCUGGGGAGUACGGCCGCAAGGCUAAAACUCAAAGGAAUUGACGGGGGCCCGCACAAGCGGCGGAGCAUGCGGAUUAAUUCGAUGCAACGCGAAGAACCUUACCAAGGCUUGACAUGAACCGGAAAGACCUGGAAACAGGUGCCCCGCUUGCGGUCGGUUUACAGGUGGUGCAUGGUUGUCGUCAGCUCGUGUCGUGAGAUGUUGGGUUAAGUCCCGCAACGAGCGCAACCCUCGUUCUAUGUUGCCAGCGGUUCGGCCGGGGACUCAUAGGAGACUGCCGGGGUCAACUCGGAGGAAGGUGGGGACGACGUCAAAUCAUCAUGCCCCUUAUGUCUUGGGCUUCACGCAUGCUACAAUGGCCGGUACAAAGGGUUGCGAUACUGUGAGGUGGAGCUAAUCCCAAAAAGCCGGUCUCAGUUCGGAUUGGGGUCUGCAACUCGACCCCAUGAAGUCGGAGUCGCUAGUAAUCGCAGAUCAGCAACGCUGCGGUGAAUACGUUCCCGGGCCUUGUACACACCGCCCGUCAAGUCACGAAAGUUGGUAACACCC
rnacentral:rRNA from 1 species